UUGCUCUGUGUGGGUUUCCAGUGCGACAGGAUGUGACUAGAGUCGUUCCCCAUGGUGCAUUCAUAGGAGUCAGAAUUUGGAGCACAACUUCCUUCUCUGUGAAUAGCAGCAUGUUCUGUUGAGAUUUAAGAUUCCUAAGACAUUUGGAAGAAGGGUUGUGAUGUAGGGCAAGAUCUGUAGCAUAGAAGGAAAGAGAAACAGGACCACUUGAACUAUGUCCUUUCUCUUAUCUAAAAUCUGGGGGAGCCAAAGACAGAGAUUAUAUAUUCAUCAGCAAUAGUCAUUUAAAGGAUGGAAUGAGUGUGUGCCUGGCAAGACAGGCUUGCUUCAGAUUCUAGAGAGUAGACAGUGGAGAGAAGUGUUUGAUAAAUGUUUUGGGGAUAAUAAGUAAUAGCAGAACGAGCACAAAACCAGCUAACUGACUUGUGCUUUGACAAGUGAUUCGCGUGUAUUUGGUAGGAAAAGACUGAGCUCAAGUUCAACUCUCUUGUCCUUUUGCCUCUGAGGACAGCUGCUGUGCACAAGAGAGCCAGAUCCCAUGAUGACAGUACUGGAGAGCAUCAAGGCUGUGGCCCUUUCUGUGUGGAGUGAGCCCCACCCCAUGUGCUCACGAACUUGCUUCUCAGCUGGUGGAGCAGAUAUCAAAUAAAUUUAAAGAGCUCUUGCUCUUGCUCCUUCGCCUGCUUGCUGCGUGAGACUGAGUAACUGCUAGAUCCUUGGACUUCCAUU
rnacentral:lncRNA from 1 species